AUAGACCCUGUGAUUCCCCGUGGAGACCUGAUGGCUGAGUUGCUUGCAGUCCCUUUUGUGCUCACACCUAGAACUUCUCUAAGAGGCAAUAUGGAGUGAAGCUGUGGGAAACUUCCGGCUCCACUUUCCUAUGUACCUGUGCCUAUGACAGGACUAACAGACAGAAUGACCUUUCAGGAAAGAUUUAAAAAUCCAAUGCUUUCAGUUUUCUUCCACUUCUGGAUUCAGGAUUAAGACCAUCAUUUUUGGGAAGAGUUUUAGAGUAAGGCAUUAG
rnacentral:antisense_RNA from 1 species